CUGUUUUUUUUUUUUUUUUUUUUUUGCAGUCUUUGAUGAACAGCAGUUCCCGUUAAGUCCUACACUGUGGUGGGUUAAAUGUCACGGCUCGACAGGGGUGCAGAGACCACGGAUGAGUCAAGGAGCUGCGCGACGGAGACGAAGAGGGAAGGGUCUGCUUUGAAAGUUGGAAACUAAAGGAAAGUAAGGUACUGGAGGUGGGUGUGGCAGCAUCAUCAGGAACACCGGUAACACCUGGGGCUCUGGGUGCCAGUGCGUCUUCAAAAACCCCCUUUGUAGUGCAGUUGCUGGUGUGCUCUCCUCCCCGAGACAUCUUUUGGGCUUUUGUGUUGAUAUUUGACUUGUUUUUUUUGCACCAUACAACACUACAUUCACACACUGUUCCACUCAUGCACUCACCUACACUACUGAUCUCACUGACUACCAUUGUUAGGUUGGGUUUUUCUCUUAGGUUACUUUCUUUUUUUUAAAUAAAUUGGUUAUUA